GACGAACGCUGGCGGCGCGCUUAACACAUGCAAGUCGAACGGAAAGGCCUGCUUUCCCUUGUGGAUUGCGGGUACUCGAGUGGCGAACGGGUGAGUAACACGUGAGUGAUCUGCCCCCAACUUGGGUAUAAGCCUGGGAAACUGGGUCUAAUUCCCGAUAGGACUGCAGGGUGGUGCCUGUGGUGGAAAACGAUUUUCUAGUGGUUGGGGAUGAGCUCGCGGCCUAUCAGCUUGUUGGUGGGGUAAUGGCCUACCAAGGCGGCGACGGGUAGCCGGCCUGAGAGGGUGGACGGCCACAUUGGGACUGAGAUACGGCCCAGACUCCUACGGGAGGCAGCAGUGGGGAAUAUUGCACGAUGGGCGGAAGCCUGAUGCAGCGACGCCGCGUGGGGGAUGACGGCCUUCGGGUUGUAAACUCCUUUCGACCGCGAGGAAGCCACCUGGUUGGAAGGGUGGUGACGGUAGUGGUAGAAGAAGCACCGGCUAACUACGU
rnacentral:rRNA from 1 species